UUUUUAGUAGAGACGGAGUUUCACCGUGUUAGCCAGGAUGGUCUCGAUCUCCUGAUCUCGUGAUCCGCCCGUGUUGGCCUCCCAAAGUGCUGGGAUUACAGGCGUGAGCCACCGCUCCCGGCCAACCAAUAAUUAAAUUUUCUUUCUUUUUUUUUUUUUUUUGAGAGGGAGUCUCGCUCUGUCGCCCAGUCUGGAGUGCAGUGGCGCGAUCUCGGCUCACUGCAAGCUCCGCCUCCCGGGUUCACGCCAUUCUCCUGCCUCAGCCUCUCGAGUAGCUGGGACUAAUUUUUUUGUAUUUUUAGUACAGACGGGGUUUCACCAUGUUAGCCAGGAUGGUCUCGAUCUCCUGACCUCGUGAUCCGCCCUCCUCAGCCUCCCAAAGUGCUGGGAUUACAGGCGUGAGCCACUGCGCCCGGCUAAUUUUUAAAAGAAUAUUAUGGUGGGGUGCAGUGGCUCACGCCUGUAAUCCCAGCACUUUGGGAGGCGGAGGCGGGCGUAUCACUUGAGCUCGGAAGUUCAAGACCAGCCUGGCCAACAUGGUGGAAUCCCAUCUCUACGAAAAAUACAAAAAUUAGCCUGGCAUAGUGGCUCAUGUUUGUAAUCCCAGCUACUAGGGAGGCUGAGGCACGAGAAUAGCUUGAACCUGGGAGGUGGAGGUUGCAGUAAGUCAAGAUUGUGCCACUGUACUCCAGCGACAACAGAGAGAGAAAAAAAGAUGUAUUGAAAUAUUAUUUAUCUUGAUUAUUGAGUUUUUUGGCACCACCUUAAUUUUUGCACCUGGUGCCAGUGCCUUACAAUGCUUUAGUCUCCUCACCCUAAUCCCAGCCCCGCAGGAGUGAGGGUGUGCAGAAUUUUACAGCAGUCUGAUUCUAAAUUCUUGCCAUCAUCUUCCCACCUCUUCUACUGUCUCUUUAAGAAAAUAAAGAGGCCUGGCGUGGUGGCACAUGCCUGUAAUCCCAGCACUCUGGGAGACUCAGGCGGGCGGAUCUCUUGAGGUCAGGAGUUCGAGACCAGCCAUGACCAAUAUGGCGAAACUCCAUCUUUAGUAAAAAUACAAAAUAUAGUCAGGCGUGGUGGCGGGUGCCUGUAAUCCCCGCUACUUGGGAGGCUGAGGCAGGAGAAUCGCUUGAAUCCGGGAGGCGGAGGUUGUAGUGAGCUGAGAUUGCGCUACUACAUUCUAGCCUGGGCAACAGGAGCAAAACUCCAUCGGAAGGUAAACACAUACACACACAGUUUUUCUUUUCAGAAAGCUCUUUUACAGUGUAGUUGGGGUCGGGCGCGGUGGCUCAUGCCUGUAAUCCCAGUACUUUGGGAGGCUGCAGGCGGGCGAAUCACGUUGAGGUCAGGAGCUGGAAAGCAGCCUGGGCAACAUAGUGCAGGCCCUCUAGUCUCUACAAAAAAUACAAAAGUUAGCUGGGAGUGGUUGCACACGCCUGUAGUCCCAGCUAUAAGGCACCGUCUCUACAAACGCAUUUUUUAAAAUUCAGCCAGGCGUGGUGGUCCACACCUGUGGUCCAAGCUACCCAGGAGGCUGAGGUGGGAGGAUCGCUUGAGCCCAGGAGGUGGAGGCUGCAGGGAGGGAUGAUCGUACCACUGCACUCGAGCCUAGGCGACAGAACGAGACUCUCUCUAAAAAAUACAAAAAACAAAACACACAAAAAAGUAGUUUGAUCUAAAGCAAAAUGGUGAAUAUCUGCAGAAACUAAUGUGAUAUCAAGUAUAGAUUGAUAUCUAUGAGAUGAAAAGCUUCAUUUGAC
rnacentral:lncRNA from 10 species